ensembl:lncRNA
AGCGGGUGUGGGACUGCGCGAAAUCCGGGGCGGGUUAGGAUUAGGGAAAGGUAAAGAGAGGAGAGGAGGCCGAAAGUAGAAAAGUAGGCCCAAGAGAAAUUGAGCAGUAAAAGAGCCUUUGGUUUAUGAAAUAAAGUAAAACAAAAGUCUGGACUGUGGUCUCCUGAUUCCUGGAGGGCAGUUUGAGUGACAGAGGACAGAAAUAAAGGAGGCAAAAUAUGAGCAGUGGUGGUCAUUCGCCAGAUGAACGAGACAGCCGAUAAAAACGAGAAAUUUAGAGAUUGGCAGAGUGGUCAGAAAAACAAAUUUAGAGCGGCGCGUGCUCUGCGGCCAGGAAUAGGGAAGGGGAUGUGUGCGCUUGAGACACAGAGCUGCUGCAAGAAAGGAAGCCUCCACUGACCCUGGCACUUGCUGCUGUGUAUCUGAAGCCUUGGUGACUAGUAGUUUGGAAGGCCUUGGGCCUCAGGGCAGGCAAGGAGAUCCCAGUUCCUCUGCUGUCUCUUAGAUGUUCCCUUCACAAACCUACCAAAAGAAGGGGGCUGCCAACCAAUGUCAUCACUCGACCUGUCACAAGAAGAGGGCAUUUGCUCUCAGUCAGACUGCUCGUUCUGGUGCCUCCUUCUUCAGUGGCUGGCACUGCAGCCUGGCAGUCAUUGCAACAUUUAGCACCCACAUCUGGCCUUAUUGGAAAAUCAGGCUUCUCUUAUCCUGGUUUCCUGGACUGGGAUAUUCUUCACUAACUUUCUCCUGAAGUCUUCAACAUUUUAUCAACCUUCCUGGAGCAUCUACCGAGUGUUGCACAAGGUGGGAAUCAAGGACCAUUAAGAAACCAUCUCUGCCUUCAAGCAACGUCUUCAACCAUUUUCCUAAUUCAAAGCACUGUGAAAGCAUCAGUUAACCCUGUGUUUGCCAUCUCUACUGAUGGAGAAAGGACAAACCAACUUGGUCCCCAUCUUAUCAUUAGAGAGCCUGAGAUUCACCUUUAUCCAUGCAAGACGUCCAGUUAGGACAGUAGAGAGGUGGACUUUGGAAUUUGAGGAACGUUGGUCCUAUCCCAGAAGCCAAGCCAGCACACCGUGACCUGCAACAGCUUAGCUUCCUGGAUAUCUAAGCAAAGGCAGAGAGGAAACUUGGGGUUAGGGAUUUUGGGCAGCUGAGGGCAGGGACCCCAGCAGAACAUCCUCUUAUCUCUAAGCGACUGUUACAGCCCAAUUUCCCCCCCUGGGGGAUCUGCCCCAGGGUCUGUCUACAGCAGAGUGAUCUAAGGCGUUAGGCCUGAAUUGUGUUUGAGACUUUAAAGAGGCUCACAGGUUCUUUUAAGCAGCAGGCUUAAUUGUUGUCUGUAAUUGAUGUGACAUAUGCCCCAGAGGCAUGCACUGAGGUCCAAUCGAAGACAUGGUUUUUAAAAAAUCGGAAUUAAUUAAUUAAAGAAGGAGCUACAUGGGGCUGUGAGUUAGUGCCAAACCCUGUAACCCUAAACCAGCCAACCCACCCAACCGGCCUCACCACCUGAGGAAUAAUCCCGAAGUUCUCACGGAGGUGGGAUCAGAGACCUGGGAUGCAGUGCAGGAAAUGGAGGCUGCAAGGGGGAAGGGUGGGGCUCAGGGUGGCUCUCUCAGCUUUCACGAUCUCUAAAAGGCUUGGCUCUGGGCAACUGUUUGGGUGCAAAAAGAAACGUUUUGGGAGCUAGGAAAUUGCGGAAAAGGGAAUGCUAUGACAAAGGAGAGUCUCUGAAAUGGUGCUUAAAAAGGGUGAACACAGAAAUGUAGAAGUCAGCCACCACAAGAUGUCUAACCAAUUUUGAUGUGAAAACUCAAGUCC